GGAUUAGUGGCGAACGGGUGAGUAACACGUGAGUAACCUGCCCUUAACUCUGGGAUAAGCCUGGGAAACUGGGUCUAAUACCGGAUAUGACUCCUCAUCGCAUGGUGGGGGGUGGAAAGCUUUUUGUGGUUUUGGAUGGACUCGCGGCCUAUCAGCUUGUUGGUGAGGUAAUGGCUCACCAAGGCGACCACGGGUAGCCGGCCUGAGAGGGUGACCGGCCACACUGGGACUGAGACACGGCCCAGACUCCUACGGGAGGCAGCAGUGGGGAAUAUUGCACAAUGGGCGCAAGCCUGAUGCAGCGACGCCGCGUGAGGGAUGACGGCCUUCGGGUUGUAAACCUCUUUCAGUAGGGAAGAAGCGAAAGUGACGGUACCUGCAGAAGAAGCGCCGGCUAACUACGUGCCAGCAGCCGCGGUAAUACGUAGGGCGCACGCGUUAUCCGGAAUUAUUGGGCGUAAAGAGCUCGUACGCGGUUUGUCGCGUCUGCCGUGAAAGUCCGGGGCUCAACUCCAGAUCUGCGGUGGGUACGGGCAGACUAGAGUGAUGUAGGGGAGACUGGAAUUCCUGGUGUAGCGGUGAAAUGCGCAGAUAUCAGGAAGAACACCGAUGGCGAAGGCGGGUCUCUGGGCAUUAACUGACGCUGAAGAGCGAAAGCAUGGGGAGCGAACAAGAUUAUAUACCCUGGUAGUCCAUGCCGUAAACGUUGGGCACUAGGUGUGGGGGACAUUCCACGUUUUCCGCGCCGUAGCUAACGCAUUAAGUGCCCCGCCUGGGGAGUACGGCCGCAAGGCUAAAACUCAAAGAAUUGACGGGGGGCCCGCACAAGCGCGAGCAUGCGAUUAUUCGAUGCACGCGAGACCUU
rnacentral:rRNA from 2 species